rnacentral:rRNA from 1 species
GACGAACGCUGGCGGCGUGCCUAAUACAUGCAAGUAGAACGCACAGUUUAUACCGUAUCUUGCUACACCAUAGACUGUGAGUUGCGAACGGGUGAGUAACGCGUAUGUAACCUUCCUUGUAGCGUGGGAUAACUAUUGUAAACCAUAUCUAAUAUCCCAUAUUCUUAAUUAUUGCAUGAUAAUUCAUUGAAAGCUGCAAUUGCACCACUACCAGAUGGACCUGCGGUGUAUUAGCUAGUAGGUGAGGUAACGGCUCACCUAUGCGGCGAUACAUAGCCUACCUGAGAGGGUGAUCGACCAAAAUGGGAAUGAGACAAGGCCCAGACUCCUACGGGAGGCAGCAGGAGGGAAUCUUCGGAAAUAGACGAAAGGCUGAACGAGCAAAGCCGGGGGGGUGGAGAAGGGUUUCGGAUCGGAAAGCUCUGUUGUAAGAGAAGAACGGGUGUGAGAGUGGAAAGUUGACACUGUGACGGUAUCUUACGAGAAAGCGACGGCUAACUACGUG